rnacentral:lncRNA from 1 species
UGAAUGAUAGUCAUCCGAACGGUUUGACGAUAAUAUCAUAAAAUAGGAAUUAAAUUGGUCAAAGGUUGGUCUAUGACCAAACACUUAUCAGGCCGGACGGAUCAAUAAAGAAGAAAUUCUUUUAAAAGAGUGAAAGGACAUUAGUCAAUUUAAACCGGACGUUUCAAUAAAUAGAGUCUCACUAGACCAUUCAGUCAUUAAGUGACCGGACGGUUUCAAAAGGAAGAAUAUCAGAUUGUAAGUUUCAAAUGUUAAGUGUCAGCCUAAGGCCGAACACUUGUAAGGCCGAACGCUUGGUUUAUGACCAACAUUCUUAAAUAGCUAUCAAAGAAACACUUAAAGGAAACCAAUUUAGUUUUAGUAACUAUACUAGGCCGAUCAAUCAUAAUAGACCGAACGGAACAGGGAAGACCGAACAGUCCUAAUGACCUUCGAUCUCAGAUUCACAUUUUCUCUAAGUUUCAUACAUACUCUUAUCAGUACAGAAUUCAUAGUUCAUACUUAUCA